CAUAGCAACGAUCCCACUGGGGACAAACAAAAGUAGCGUCGUCUCCACCGAACCAGUUGUCAGUGGCAACAUAUAGGAAUCGUGUACAUUUCUUCGUUUCUUCUUUGCUGUUUUCAGUGAGUGUUUUGUUUUCUCUUUGUCCUUGAUCUCGACGGUGUUGUCGUGCUCAUUACCUUACUAAGACGUCUCUUGUGACUGUAGCCAGUGUCACGGAGAAGUUUAUUGGCGUGACGAGGUAGAUCGCCGAGAUCGAGCGUGAAAAACGCUCUGCAUUAGCAGCUCCUGUAGAAUGUCUUCUGGGAUGGCGUAUCCAUGGUCAACAAAGCCAAGGUGCAAGACAGCAUAAGAGAUCGUGUAAACGAUGUGAACUCCAAAAGAUAAUCUGGACAAAUAAAAUUUAGAGAGUGCAAUCGUGCUUGGGACCCAUCCCAAUGUCAUCACAUGGCUGUGGUGACUAGUGUAUACCUGUACCUGGGAGAGUUUUUCCUCAACUGAGACGGAGUGUAGGUGGAUGGAUUAUGAGAAAUGCGAAGAUGUGGAGUUCAAGGCUAGAUGCACUUCACAUUCGGCGUGCAAUCUCGGUGUCUGGGACCUGAUAACGUCUUGGUUGGAUGGGUAAUCAAGGAUGAUACUACUCGGCACACCAAUGUACAUGUCAAUGUAAUUUUUACUUUUUCAGAGCUGCACUAUUUACGGACGAAUGUGUCUGUUAGAGAGGAAAUAAAUAGUAUUCACAAACAAGUCCCACUUAUUGUUUCUGUUCGUAAAAGGAAAUUGCAAUUUUUGGUCAUAUUGUUCGUUCCGGCUGUUUGUCAUUGACUGUUCUUCAGGGUUGUGUUGCUGGAGGUCGUGGCCGAGGCAGGCCCAGAAUGUCAUGGCUUGAUAAUAUUAUUUCAUGGACUGCACUGGACGUGCAGUCCCUGCUCGCUGCUGCACGCGAUCGAUUUUUAUGGCGGUCGCUUGUUCAUACUUGCUCUGGGACGCCUCGACGGCUUUAGGGCUUGUGAUGAUGACUAUUUACGUCUUGAUGCUUACUUCGGUGCUAGCGUGUUUCCCCCGGAUUAUUUCUAUCAUCAUGCGUGUUCUUGGGCUGAGCGAGCACAUGCACGAGUGUG